rnacentral:rRNA from 1 species
UACGAAGGGGACUAGCGUUGUUCGGAAUUACUGGGCAUAAAAGCGCACGUAGGCGGAUUUGUAAGUCAGGGGUGAAAUCCCGGGGCUCAACCUCGGAACUGCCUUUGAUACUGCAAAUCUCGAGUCCGAUAGAGGUGGGUGGAAUUCCUAGUGUAGAGGUGAAAAUUCGUAGAUAUUAGGAAGAACACCGGUGGCGAAGGCGGCCCACUGGAUCGGUACUGACGCUGAGGUGCGAAAGCGUGGGGAGCAAACAGG